GAGAGAAAUCUGACGAUAGCAAAGACUGCUAAUCUUCUGCCCCCUCAGUUAAAUUCUGUGGUUCACUCG
ensembl:Mt_tRNA